rnacentral:rRNA from 1 species
UUGGAGGGCAAGUCUGGUGCCAGCAGCCGCGGUAAUUCCAGCUCCAAUAGCGUAUAUUAAAGUUGUUGCAGUUAAAAAGCUCGUAGUUGAACUUCGGGGUUUACCCAUUGGUCAGGCUUAAUUGUCUGCACUGGUGAGAUGAAUCUCUACCUUCUGAGGAACUUUCAUGCCAUUUAUUUGGUGUGAUGGGAAAUCAGGACUGUUACUUUGAAAAAAUUAGAGUGUUUAAAGCAGGCUAACGUCUGAAUACAUUAGCAUGGAAUAAUGAAAUAGGACGGACUGAUUCUAUUUCGUUGGUUUCUAGGAUCACCGUAAUGAUUAAUAGGGAUAGUUGGGGGCAUUAGUAUUCAAUUGUCAGAGGUGAAAUUCUUGGAUUUAUUGAAGACUAACUACUGCGAAAGCAUUUGCCAAGGAUGUUUACAUUAAUCAAGAACGAAAGUUAGGGGAUCGAAGACGAUCAGAUACCGUCGUAGUCUUAACCAUAAACUAUGCCGACUAGGGAUCGGACGAAGUUAAUUUUAUAAUGACGCGUUCGGCGCCUUACGGGAAAC